CCUACGGGUGGCUGCAGUAGGGAAUCUUCGGCAAUGGACGAAAGUCUGACCGAGCAACGCCGCGUGAGUGAAGAAGGUUUUCGGAUCGUAAAACUCUGUUGUUAGAGAAGAACAAGGGUGAGAGUAACUGUUCACCCCUUGACGGUAUCUAACCAGAAAGCCACGGCUAACUACGUACCACCACCCCCGGUAAAACUAAGGGGCCAAGCGUGGUCCGGAUUUAUUGGGCGUAAAGCGAGCGCAGGCGGUUUCUUAAGUCUGAUGUGAAAGCCCCCGGCUCAACCGGGGAGGGUCAUUGGAAACUGGGAGACUUGAGUGCAGAAGAGGAGAGUGGAAUUUCAUGUGUAGCGGUGAAAUGCGUAGAUAUAUGGAGGAACACCAGUGGCGAAGGCGGCUCUCUGGUCUGUAACUGACGCUGAGGCUCGAAAGCGUGGGGAGCAAACAGGAUUAGAUACCCUGGUAGUC
rnacentral:rRNA from 1 species